GUUUUUUUUGGUUUUUUAUUUUAUUUUAUUUUUAGGAAGCCAAGCAAUGUACAUACAGGCUGUCUACAAAUUGUUUCCGUUUUCAAUGGAGGGAACUGACGUUCUAAAAGAAAUGGUCUCACUAUGUAACCCUGAAUGGCCUGAAAUUAACUGUUGGAGACCGACUCCGGACAGCUGUGUCUUGAAUUUUGUGUGACCUUCCUUACUUUAUCAAACCUUGCAAAAACAGGUUCCUGGCCUAACCGAGGGCUGUACAACUUCCUGGAGUAGGUGCUAAUCAGCCAGCUGCAGGGGCCUGGGACCAAAGCGACCUCACCCUUCCUUAGGAAUUUUCCAUUCUUCUCUCCUUCCUUCCCCUGCUCCCCCUCCCUGCCUGAAGCCCUGCUUAUAAGCCUCAAUACCCAGUCAAUAAACGAGACCUUGACGCGACUCAGACUGACUCUGUCUUCCCUUAUGUGCCUGGUCUCCUUUCUCUCUCGCCCCCAUUGAUCUUUCAGGAGGUGCCUCCUCGGGUCUCCCCAAUAACCUGGCCCGCGGGACGGGUCAAUUAACUAUGUAGAACAGGCUGACCUUGAACUCAUAUUGAUCUGCCUGUCUGUGCCUCCUGAGAGAUGGGAUUAAAAGAGUUUGCUACCAUACCCAGUCUAAAAAAUAAGAGCAUUAAAAAGAUUAAUUAUAGGCAGGUGUAGUUACCUUAUGGAGUAUUUUAGAGAUGGCACUGUAAGCUAUAAUGAAGAAUGUGUGUUUUGCAUGUGUAUGAUAGGAUAUUCUGAGUAUCUGUGUAAAUCCAUUUGAUCUGUGGUGAAGUUUAAAUCUGAAGUGUCUUGGUUCGAUUUGGGGCUGGAUGACGCAUCUAAAGAUGAGAUUGGGCUGUUAAAGGCAACCACUGCUAUUGUAUCCAGACAGAUCUGCCUGGUCUUCUAUGCUCACUAAUAUUUGCUUUAUACAGUUGCUAACUCAAAUUUUUGUAUGUAUAAUAUUUAUAAUUGCUAUGUCUUCUUCAUGAAUUGUUCUCUUAUUAUGUAGUGACCUUUAUAUUUUCUAAUUUUUGUUUAAUGUCAAUUUUGUUCACUAUCAAAAUAAUACACCAGCUUACUUUUGGGCUUUCGUUUGCUUAAUAAAUUUAUUUUUGAUAUUUGACUCUCCUUUUGUGAGUGUCUUCACCAGUGAGGUGUGUUUCUUUCUUUUUCUUUUUCGGCAUGGUCUCUCUUUGUAGCCCUAGCUGUCCCAGAGCUCACUAUGUUGACCAGGCUGGCCUCAAACUCACAGAGAUCCUCCUGCCUUUGGCUCUUGGUGCUGGGACUAAAGGUGUGCACCAUCACACCUGACUUAAUUCUUAUAAAUUUGUGGUUGUUUUCUGAUUGGUUGGAUGGUUGUCUAUUCUCUUCUGUCCCCCCUGAUAGUACCAGGGAGUUUUCUGUGUACUCCUUCCUAGUUCUCCUUUGUUCCCGUCUUCCCAUCAUGAAGCUGGUCCUUUGCUGUCCUCGUGACCGGGCCACCCUCUUCCUCUUCUGUAGUGUAACAGGCAGACCCUGUCCCUGUCUCUAGACUGCCUCUGAAGACAGCACCUGCUCACUGACCUCCAGGUCACAGAAUGACAGACUCGGGUUCCUCUCUACGGCUGUCUGUGGUGUCUUCAGCUGUGACAGAAGAAUCAGUGUCCACCAGGAGCUACAACUGGGUUUGGGAUUUGUGAAGAUACUGGGCUUUCCCAGGGCUGCAGGGCUUAGGUCUGGAUGAGGUUCUGUCUCUCUUCAGCUGUCCUGGGACUGUGCAUCUAGAGCAAUGUGGGCCUGGCUUACUUCAGUGUGCUGGUCUUUCCUCUGCACUUUUUGGGUGUCUUGUCACCAUCUUUACAAAUUUAUAGUAUUCUUCCUCUGAUUCUCUUUAGAAAAGAGUCUAUUUUUAUAUUCUGUUCCAAUUCUUCUCCUUCAAUGAGUCAUACAGAGGAGGCUUCUAGUCUGUUAUCUUACCCAGAAUUUACUUACUUUGAGAUCAUUUUUUUUUUGCUUAUAGAAAAUUAUGUAUAAAACUCAAUUAUGUUGAUAUUAUGUGCUUCAAAGGUUAACAUUCUCUCUUUCUCUCUGUCUCUCUCUCUGUCUCUCUCUCUCUCUGUCUCUCUCUGUCUCUCUCUCUCUCUCUCUCUCUCUCUCUCUCUCUCUCUCUCUCUCUCUCUCUCUCUCUCUCUCUGCUUCUUGGCUACUACCAGCUAAGAAGCCUUCUAGCUCACAUGUUCCCAUUCCUAACACCCUGUCUCAUGUCCAAAGCAAUAGAGCUACCCAACCUGGGGCUGAAAUAUAUGAAAACAAGCCAAAGUAAAUCUUCCUUCCUUUAGAUGGAUUUUCAAGUAAUUAAGCCCACACCGCAGUGACAUACUUCCUCCAACCAGGCUCCAUCUCCUAAAGAUGCCAUCACCUCCCCAAACAGCACCACCAGCUGGAGACUAAGUGUUCACUCACACAUGAGCCUGGGGAACAAAUCUCAUUCCCACAGCUAGUUACUAGUUAGUAACUGUUAUCUUGCAAUGCUGAGGACUGAACCCAGGGCCUUGCACAUGCCAGGCAAGCACUCUGACACUGAGCUAUAUCCCCAGCCCUGAUCCUGUGAAAUUAAACAUAUUAUCAAGUAAAACAGAGAAAAUGUUUCUAAUUCCUCCUGGAAGCUGCCAUUGAGUGUUGAAAGCCAUAAACAUUGCCUUCCUUUGGGACACAUUUUCAUUUUUCAGAAAUUAUUUCAAAGAAGUACACAAGGCCUAAUGUUCACUGUGGCUGUAUUUCUAGUAGAAAAUACAUAAGCCAGAAAAUUAAAGGUGCCCAGAAAAUAAAUGUAAAUAUUUUAUCUGUUUAAGAGAUAUUAAAUAGGCAUUUGCAUAUCGUGCUGGAAAAACCAGCUCAUGUCAUUGGAAAUGAAUAAUGUCAUAAUAAAAUUAAAAAACACAUCAAAUACAGUUUGACCCAAUGUUUAAAGAUGUCUGUGGCAAAAACCAAGAUAAGAAGAAACUACUUCAAAGUAUCAGUAGUACGUUUGCCUUGAGUUAAAGCCUCCUGAAUAGUUUGGUGAUCUUUUGUUGCUGUAGAAUUUUCUAGAGUGGCUCUGUAUUUAUCUAGUAUGAUAUUUUUUAUUUGUGGUGUGGUGAGGAGUUGCCAAAGGCAACUUUCCAGUUAGUACCCCUGACCUGAGGAUAGUGUUUGAUGCUAAGAAGGAUCAAAAGUGGGGGUUAGUGAUGAAGAAAGGACCCAGGUGAUGGAAUGUUCCUGGUACUCUAAAAAAAAUGUCCCCACUGAAUUUCUCCUUGAUCCUUUUUUCUUUCUUAAAAAACACUUGUGUGUGUGUGUGUGUGUGUGUGUACCCACAUUUGUGUAUAUGCUAUGAGUGUGCAGGUGCCUACAGAGGCCAGAAGAGGUCAUCAGACCCCUUGGAGCUGGAGUUCCAUAUCAUUAAUUAUUAUGAGCAGCUGCCAUGAAUGCAGAAACUGAACUCUGGUCCUCUGGAAGAGCAGCAAGUGCUCUUAACUGCUGAACCAUCUCUCCAGCACCCUUGAUUACUUUUUACAGUUGCUUUUCUUGGGUAGCUUUUGGAAGUUUACAUUUCUCCUGGUCUUUCUCCCUUAAUCUGUUAUCCAAGGUUUUCUGAGCAUCAGGGUUAGAUUUCUCUUAUCUGUUCAGGGAAUGUUUUUAAGAUGCAUCUGAGAAGUCAGAACACAAGAAAAAUUAAUGCCCUGCCCGCUGCUCUAUGGAGGGCUAAUAGAACCCUUAGAGGCCACAGCACAGGAACAUGACAGGGAGCACAUGACCUUCCUGUCCAUCACAGUGACCUUCCCUUUCUCUUCUGUUUAUUCAGCCUCGUGAUGAUCCUGAGACUAGUCCUACUGUGGUUUUAGCACCUAGAGGAGCCAAGAGCCAAACUGCCAUCAUUCUACUGGACCUGACAGAGCAGGUUCUUGUGUUUGAAAGAUCGAUUUCAAUAGGUGGUAAAUGUCUUACUCGGAAAUGAAAAUGAUGUUGUCAUCCUAAUAUUCAAAACUAGUUGGCCAUAUUUGUUUGCCUCCUUUAUCUAAAGCACAAAUUUUAGCUGUUUCUAUUUGUUAAUCCUGAUCUUUAAUGAGUUGUUAUGUAUUCAUUUGUGUGUCAUUUUGUAUGUGGAAUUUGGGGGCUUGCUGUUUUCUGCUUCUAACAGUUCCAAACACUUAUGGAUCAAAUAAAUUAAACUGCGACCUGUCAGGUAAUGAGAUCCCUGGAGUGAACCACAGGCUGUUGAGUCGUAUGUCACUUUGGUACAUUAGGGAUUUUGUUUGUAUUGUUGCCAGGGGUUUUUUUGCACUGAAGGAAUUCCAUUCUCAGCUCAUCAGUGUCCUAACAGAAUGUAUUCAGUAUUCAAAUAAAAUACAUUUUCUUUUAA